rnacentral:rRNA from 1 species
UACGAAGGGGGCUAGCGUUGCUCGGAAUCACUGGGCGUAAAGCGCACGUAGGCGGAUCUUUAAGUCAGGGGUGAAAUCCUGGAGCUCAACUCCAGAACUGCCUUUGAUACUGAGGAUCUCGAGUCCGGAAGAGGUGAGUGGAACUCCGAGUGUAGAGGUGAAAUUCGUAGAUAUUCGGAAGAACACCAGUGGCGAAGGCGGCUCACUGGUCCGGUACUGACGCUGAGGUGCGAAAGCGUGGGGAGCAAACAGG